GUGCCUGACAACCAUGGUUGGCCUUCAUCCACUGCUGUGACUUCUAGGCAAGAGGUCCACCUACUGAUCUUCCAAAUUACUAAUUCUGGGUUUUCUGCAGAGCCCUUAGGUUAGGGGAAAUGAAAUGACAGGUCAUAUCCUGUUCUCUGUCCUCUCAUAGUAUCUUAUCACCCAUAGUAUCGUACCCUGUGCCUUGUCAGGGCGCUGCUGUCAUCAGGGCUCUGGCCAGUUUCCUCUGCAGGGCUGUGUGGUAUCCUUGACACUGCACUUUUUCCAUUGUGUCAUGGCUUUCAGCAAUGUUUCCAUCCUUGGUUCCUGUCUCCCUAUAUAAAGAGGGCUGAACCCAGGAAUCCCACACCAGGCACAGUGACGGACACUGCAACAGUCCAGCUUCACUCCUACAAUUCACCUCCAUCCAACAGAACCAUGAAAACCUUCACAGCAGCCCUUUCUGUACUUUUUGUGGUUGUCUUCUGCUACCAGGCCACCUCUUCGCCAAUUUCUCUCAGCUUUGGUCCCUGCUGUGUUGCGUACAUCACCAGACCAUUGCCCUUGAGCCGUGUGGUAAAGUAUGAGCAUACGGGCGACCACUGCUCUCUACCAGCUGUGAUAUUUACCACCAUCAUGGACAAGCUGGUCUGUGCCAACCCUAAUGACGAGUGGGUCAAGGACAUAAGGAAUCAAUUAAAGGACAAUAAGCACAGUGGAUGAGCAAUACCCUGCUCUCUCCAAGCACCUCUCUUCAGCAAGGACGUGCUCUCAUGGACACCUCGAAGACAUAUUCUAUUUUCUCAUUGCCUGGGAAUUUGGCAGAGUAUUCAACUCAGUCUUUAGCUCUUUUAUGGAAGGUUGUGCA